GACAUAGGUGGCGAACGUUAUCCGGAAUUAUUGGGCGUAAAGGGUGCGUAGGCGGUUUAAUAAGUUACUGGUGGUAAAUCGGGGCUCAACCUCGUGGAAGUCAGUAAUACUAUUAGACUAGAGGACCGGAGGAGUUAACGGAAUGGCUCAUGUAGGGGUAAAAUCCGCAAAUAUGAGUUGGAACACCAAUUGGCGAAGGCAGUUAACUAUUCGGUUCCUGACGUUUGAGGCACGAAAGCGUGGGAGCAAGACGG
rnacentral:rRNA from 1 species